CAGUCGAGCGAACUUUUUGGGAGCUUGCUCCCAAAAGUUAGCGGCGGACGGGUGAGUAACACGUGGGCAACCUGCCUAUAAGACUGGGAUAACUUCGGGAAACCGGAGCUAAUACCGGAUAACAUAUGAGACCACAUGGUCUCAUAUUAAAAGAUGGCUUUUAGCUAUCACUUAUAGAUGGGCCCGCGGCGCAUUAGCUAGUUGGUGAGGUAAUGGCUCACCAAGGCGACGAUGCGUAGCCGACCUGAGAGGGUGAUCGGCCACACUGGGACUGAGACACGGCCCAGACUCCUACGGGAGGCAGCAGUAGGGAAUCUUCCGCAAUGGACGAAAGUCUGACGGAGCAACGCCGCGUGAGCGAAGAAGGUCUUCGGAUCGUAAAGCUCUGUUGUUAGGGAAGAACAAGUACCGUUCAAAUAGGGCGGUACCUUGACGGUACCUAACCAGAAAGCCACGGCUAACUACGUGCCAGCAGCCGCGGUAAUACGUAGGUGGCAAGCGUUAUCCGGAAUUAUUGGGCGUAAAGCGCGCGCAGGCGGUCCUUUAAGUCUGAUGUGAAAGCCCACGGCUCAACCGUGGAGGGUCAUUGGAAACUGGGGGACUUGAGUGCAGAAGAGGAGAGCGGAAUUCCACGUGUAGCGGUGAAAUGCGUAGAGAUGUGGAGGAACACCAGUGGCGAAGGCG
rnacentral:rRNA from 1 species